UGCUGGUGUGGCUCAACGGUAGAGCAGCUGACUUGUAAUCAGCACUCCCACCUUCACGGGUAACAGGGGUUCAAUUCCCCUACGAGUCACCA
rnacentral:tRNA from 1 species